UACGUAGGGGGCAAGCGUUGUCCGGAUUUAUUGGGCGUAAAGAGCGUGUAGGCGGUCCGGUAAGUCCGCUGUGAAAGUCCAGGGCUCAACCCUGGAAUGCCGGUGGAUACUGCCGGGCUAGAGUCCGGAAGAGGCGAGUGGAAUCCUGGUGUAGCGGUGAAAUGCGCAGAUAUCAGGAGGAACACCGAUGGCGAAGGCAGCUCGCUGGGACGGUACUGACGCUGAGACGCGAAAGCGUGGGGAGCAAACAGG
rnacentral:rRNA from 1 species